CUUUGACGUUAGCGGCGGACGGGUGAGUAACACGUGGGCAACCUACCUUAUAGUUUGGGAUAACUCCGGGAAACCGGGGCUAAUACCGAAUAACCUAUUUCACUUCAUGGUGAAAUACUGAAAGACGGCUUUGGCUGUCGCUAUAAGAUGGGCCCGCGGCGCAUUAGCUAGUUGGUGAGGUAACGGCUCACCAAGGCGACGAUGCGUAGCCGACCUGAGAGGGUGAUCGGCCACACUGGGACUGAGACACGGCCCAGACUCCUACGGGAGGCAGCAGUAGGGAAUCUUCCACAAUGGGCGAAAGCCUGAUGGAGCAACGCCGCGUGAGUGAAGAAGGUUUUCGGAUCGUAAAACUCUGUUGUAAGGGAAGAACAAGUACAGUAGUAACUGGCUGUACCUUGACGGUACCUUAUUAGAAAGCCACGGCUAACUACGUGCCAGCAGCCGCGGUAAUACGUAGGUGGCAAGCGUUGUCCGGAAUUAUUGGGCGUAAAGCGCGCGCAGGCGGUCCUUUAAGUCUGAUGUGAAAGCCCACGGCUCAACCGUGGAGGGUCAUUGGAAACUGGGGGACUUGAGUGCAGAAGAGGAAAGUGGAAUUCCAAGUGUAGCGGUGAAAUGCGUAGAGAUUUGGAGGAACACCA
rnacentral:rRNA from 1 species